rnacentral:rRNA from 1 species
UACGGAGGGUGCGAGCGUUGUCCGGAUUCACUGGGCGUAAAGGGUGCGCAGGCGGCCAAGUGUGUUAGGCGUGAAAGCCUGGGGCUUAACCCCAGAAUUGCACCUAAAACUACAUGGCUAGAGCAUUGGAGAGGGUAGCGGAAUUCACGGUGUAGCAGUGAAAUGCGUAGAUAUCGUGAGGAACACCAGAGGCGAAGGCGGCUACCUGGACAAUUGCUGACGCUCAGGCACGAAAGCGUGGGGAGCAAAAGGG